UGCACAUGGCUUCCUGACUGCAGCUAAUGAAAGGAAAUUCCGUCAUCAGCACACAGAAAUCGGGGGAUUUCAGGCUGCAGCCACAGCCACCACUCCCUGAGCAGUGCUACCUAUCUGUCUCCGUCUAGGCAGCCCUCUGGCCCCAGGCACCCCGCGGACCCUGCCAGAGAUGUCUUCUUUUGGCUGCUGGGGCCUCCCCACAGCCCUUCUCACCCUGCUGUGCUGUUCAGGAUCUUCUGAGGUAACAUUCGAGGUUUACGUAUGGCCUGAGAGGUUGGCGGUUGAGGCCAUAGGGUCCAGGAAAGUCAACUGCAGCACCAGCUGUGUCAAGCCUGAAUCAGGUGGCCUGGAGACCUUCCUGUCUAAGCAUUUGGUGGACCAACAGCCUCAGUGGCAGCAGUACUUGAUCUCAAACAUUUCUCAGGAUGCGGAACUCAUUUGCUACUUUUCCUGUGCCGGGAAGACACUGACAAAGAGUCUCAACAUCAGCGUGUACCAGCCCCCAAAGCAGGUCACACUGAAGCUGCAGCCCACAAGGGUGGCCUUGGGCACAUCCUUCACCAUUGAGUGCAGGGUGGCUGCUGUAGAGCCCCUUGAGAGCCUCACCCUCACCUUGCUCCGUGGCCAGGAGACUCUGCACAACCAGACCUUCGUGGGGGCAGCACCUGCCCCCCAGGAAGCCGCCACCACAUUCAUCAGCAUGGCUCAGAGAGAAGGUGGUCCCCUCAACUUUUCCUGCCAGGCCGAGCUGGACCUGCGGUCUAGAGGCGGGGACAUCAUUCGCAGUGUCUCGGAGCCCCAGGUCCUCCAAGUCUAUGGUCCCAGCCUGGAUCCUGACUCUUCUAGAAGUCAGGAGAGCUCAACUAGUUGCUUGGCCAUUAUCAAGCUUCGUGGCCUUGACCAAGGCAACCUGCUCUCUCUGUCCUUGACUCCUCUCCAUAUCGAGAGGUUUGGCCUGCCUUUCCCUGGGGUCUCCAAGUCCUGCUGUUCCAUGACUGAGUGGCCAGUGUCUGCUGUCUUUGGGGAGCUUGCCUGAAGCUCACUUGGCUCUGCCUGAGGAGGGCCAUGAGCUGGUCCCGGGACUGCUGGCCGGGGGCAUCUGCCCUAACCAUCUCACAGAGGUCUGGCUAGUGACUGGAGCCUGGGCCACUUUUCUUCUAGAUGCCACUCUGAAGGCAGACACCACACUUCACUCCUCUUGGCAAGCAGGAGCCCGUGCAAGACAGCCAGAUGGUCAUCAUCGUCACAGUCGUGUCAGUUCUGCUGUUUUUAUUUGUGACAUCCAUCCUGCUCUGCUUUAUCAUCAG